rnacentral:rRNA from 1 species
UACGGGGGGAGCAAGCGUUGUUCGGAAUUACUGGGCGUAAAGCGUGCGCAGGCGGUUCGCUAAGACCGAUGUGAAAUCCCCGGGCUCAACCUGGGAACUGCAUUGGUGACUGGCGGGCUAGAGUAUGGCAGAGGGGGGUAGAAUUCCACGUGUAGCAGUGAAAUGCGUAGAGAUGUGGAGGAAUACCGAUGGCGAAGACAGCCCCCUGGGCCAAUACUGACGCUCAUGCACGAAAGCGUGGGGAGCAAACAGG